rnacentral:lncRNA from 10 species
UCCCGAGUGAGGCAAUGCCUCGCCCUGCCUCGGCUCACGCACAGUGCGUGCACCCACUGACCUGCACCCACCCACUGACCUGCACCCACUGUCUGGCAGUCCCUAGUGAGAUGAACCCGGUACCUCAGAUGGAAAUGCAGAAAUCACCCAUCUUCUGCGUUACUCACGCUGGGAGCUGUAGACCGGAGCUGUUCCUAUUCGGCCAUCUUGGCUCCUCCUCCCAGAAACAAGUUCUUGAUGUGUUGCCCAAGGUGGACUCAAACUCCUCUGCUCAAGAGAUCCUCCCACCUCAGACUCCUGAGUAGCAAGGACUCCAGGCAUGUGCCGGUAAAUGUUGCCUGCUCUGGGAAACCAUGCUGUGAGGCAGCCCAAGGUAGAGACCACACGGAGAAGAUGCCAGGUGGAAUAUUCCAGUGGACAGCCCCCAGUGAGGUGUCAGCCAACAGCCAUUUCCAGGCAUAGCUCAAGCUGCUGGCUGCAACAAGG